UACAAACAGAGUGUUUCCUAACUGCUCUAUGAAAAGAAAGGUUAAACUCUGUGAGUUGAAUGCACACAUCACAAAGAAGUUUCUGAGAAUCAUUCUGUCUAGUUUUUAUACGAAGAUAUUUCCUUUUCUACCAUUGACCUCAAAGCGGCUGAAAUCUCCACUUGCAAAUUCCACAAAAAGAGUGUUUCAAGUCUGCUCAAAGUAAAGGAUUCAACUCACAGAGUUGAAUACACACAACACAAGGAAGUUACUGAGAAUUCUUCUGUCUAGCAUAGUAUGAAGAAAUCCCGUUUCCAACGAAGGCCUCAAAGAGGUCUGAAUAUCCACUUGCAGAGUUUACAAACAGAGUGUUUCCUAACUGCUCUAUGAAAAGAAAGGUUAAACUCUGUGAGUUGAACGCACACAUCACAAAGAAGUUUCUGAGAAUCAUUCUGUCUAGUUUUUAUACGAAGAUAUUUCCUUUUCUACCAUUGACCUCAAAGCGGCUGAAAUCUCCACUUGCAAAUUCCACAAAAAGAGUGUUUCAAAUCUGCUCUGUGUAAACCA
rnacentral:lncRNA from 1 species